CGCUAUUGAAGAUAUCAUUUAUAGCGUACUAUAGCGUUUUAAAAAUAAGCCCUAUUAAAAGUCGACUUACAACAGCGCUUUCUACAAAGCCCUAUAAAAAAGUUAUUAAAAAAAUAAAAAUAUAAAUAAAAAUAAAAGUAAAAGAGCUUUUGAAUACCAAUUACCAAAUUAUAGUCAGACCCUUUGUUCUUCUUUCCGUAUUUAUGGUUUUCUCUCAAAAGAAAACCCUUAUAAACAUUUCUUUUCAAUCCUCCGCCCCAUUCAAUUUCUUAGUUCCAAUUUCAUGGAUAUUAGAGGAGCUCGCAAUAGAGGGCAUGCUCAGGCUAUUCAUAGGGAAAAAACGGCUUCAAAAAAUCUUGUAUAAGGAGUUAAUCAUGCUAUCAGGACUGCUCAAUUCUCCCUGUGUUCGGAGAAGCUUGUUCAGAUAAAUGAAGCUUGCUUUGGGGGACUACUUUUUGGUUAUGAUAUUGGUGCUACAUCCUCUGCCACAAUUUCAUUUCAGGUCGUGCUCUUCACAAACUCGGGUAUGGAAGCAAAUGAGUUGGCCUUAAUGAUGGCAAUGUUGUACACUGGAUGGCAGGACAUUAAUCCUUGAGGAAUGCUUACCAUGGAAACACAGCUGGAACUAUAGGUGCAACUGCUCAGUGCAAUUGGGAGUUCAAUGUUACUCAGUACUUUUCAGAUUGUCAGUUUUCAAGUUAUGACAAAGAGCAGAUUGACGUAGUAGGAACUCUGUGGGUGCGCCAUGUUAUUCAACAAUUGUAUAAUAACUAGGUGACGUUGAAGGAACAAAAAACAUACAACUCUAGUAAUUGAUGUAUUUUGUGUAGUGCAAUGUUUGUAAUCUUAUUUUAGAACAUAUUAUGUAAUCGGUUUUAUUAAGAUGACAAUUGCAAAAUUCAUUGAGGUUUGGAAAUUAAUAUUCAACUAUUUACUACACUCUUCAA